CGAGAGCUUGUGGUGUAACCCCAGUCAAGCACAGUUGCUGGCAUGACAAUAUGAACGUGUCACCCACCAAGAGGAGCCAUUCUUUCCCGAUGCCAGUUGACUCAUGCCUAUUGCUGUUCUAUCAGGGGUGGAAUAUCAUGACUCACGGCUUCAUAGCCACCGGUGGAAACCCACCUCACACCAAACCAUUUUCUUCCCAGCUCUCUUGAGUAAGAUAGACAUGGGCUGGUAUGUUUCAUAUCUUAUAUUGUGGGUUCUAUCUUUUCACGUUGGCGGCUAUGGUGGCAAAAUCCAAAAUUAGUGUAUUUGAUGAAAAAACCCUCUGGGCCAUUUUUUAUGGCCUUACAGAUCGGCUUGGGGCAUGUCAGCCAUGUAACCAAUUGUUCUCUAAAAAGUUGGCUACAUUCUUGAAAAACAAAAACAAAAACCUCCUUUUAUAGUUCAGAAAAAUGAGAAGCCAUAAGGUGCAGCUGACAUACAGAUCUGGAGCAUUCAUUCUUGGUCAUGUGGACUGGAGGAGCCAUCCUUAUGUGAGCUGCCUCAGAAGUAAAAUGAUGCUCUAGGCACAGGCUUUCUGUGGUAGCCUGAUACACUGAUGUCUUUAUCACUUCCCUGGCUCUUCAAGGUUCUCAGAACCCAGAACCAAUCCCCAGGCCUGUGAUGUCAUCCUCUUUCCUGUUAGCUGAGAACAAUGAAACCCACAAAGGGCAUUGUGGGUACCCAGCAUUUCUUUAAGCCAGAGAACCAGAAGAGAACAAAAGAAACUUCCUGUGACUAGAACUUCCUUGGAGAGACAUAUAAACACGGAGACAGUUUGCUAGGAAGUAUCUAGACUCUACUCAUUAUAAUGCCUAGAAUCCAGUCUAGAAAUCAAGGCUUUGUUCUGGAGUGUGCAGCAUGACCUCAUUAGGCUUCUGGGAAUGCACCGUCGUGUGGGAACAUCCUUUAGUCAUUUGAUGGUGAAAGAAACUGGGAAUUCACAGCUGGGAAAGCAAGUUACCAUCAGUACAGCAAGAUGCUGAGAUAAGGCCCUUACCACUUCCUGUUUCUCUAAGGGCAGUGACUUGAGAAGGACUGGAGAGAAGAAAAGGAGACAGCAACAGUUACUAAGCUGAAUGUUUUUGCUUUGUGGCUUUGUGGGCUUUGCCUCAUAGGAACUGACACCAGCAUUCUAUGAAAGGUCUCUUUUAAAGGUUCAUAUUAUUUAGAUCAAGUCUCCAGUCUGCCACAUGCAGGAGAAGACUUCAAUGACAAGUCGACAGGCAUCACACACUUUGGUUUUUGAGAUGGGGUCUCUCAUCAGUCGCUCCUUGCCUAUGAGUCUCAGUGGGCUGAUGUGAGCUCGGGCAGCGAGCUCACGCGCCUAUGCACAGCCCUGUUCACGGGAGCUCUGAGGCUCAAACUCAAGACAGCACCACAAGCACUUUAUGGACUGAGAUGCUCAUCAGUUCACCGAUUCUUAGGUCUAAUAUAAAAUGAGGCCAGCUGAC
rnacentral:lncRNA from 1 species